ACGCUUGCCUGAAAGAGGAGACACCGUGAUCAAGAAGGUGGUUCACCCAGGGCGAGGCUUGGCCAUUGCAGUCCGGCUGUGCUUACUCCUGCCAAUUCCCCAAAUGUGGGAAUCUUGACUGAAUUUAAUCGUUAAUGGUAGUGGGGGACUGCGUUUGCACUCGCCCCUG